UCGCAAUUAGUAUCAAAUACUUAGAUUUGUUAUGCUUGAUAUACGGCGUGUGAUUCCGUCUUAGAAUUGGACCACUCCAAAUCCUCCCGUGGAUGUCGUACAAGGCGACUAAGGGACACAUAGCCUAUUGUUAUACUUUCCUUAUCAAGUUGCCUAAACAGCAAAGCAAGUAAUAAAGAAAAAUGCGUAACAUCCUAACAAAUUUUGAAUUUGAAAAGCUCUUAAGUUAGCUAAAGAGCUAAUUGUCUAUUAUACUGACUGCUUAAAAUGAAGUGCGCCGAAAAUGUAUUUUGCCAGUGAAUUAAAAAACGUUUGUCCAUAGAUAGAUAGAUUGAUUACAAUAUUAUAAAUGCGAAAGAAGUGUGGAGAAGGACAUAGCGAACGACACCUUCAUCCUGGAAAAAUAUGUGUUCCCGUGGUCGUGCAUGAAGGCUAGGUUUGAGGUUAAUUUAGCCUCACUAUCAAAGUGUGAUCUGUCAAACUCACUGGUUCCAUAAACUAAACUAUUAUACUACGGAAGGACCGUAAUAUAAUAGUUUUAUUGAAACAAUAGUAUAAUAAUAUUUGCGGAUUGCGGUAUCACUAACUGAAGACUAUCGAAUGACAUUUAAUACCACGGCCAACGUCGUCCCUUCAUAAAUAUGUAAAUCCAGGAUUCCGUCUAUUAUCCCACGCCGUUCUAGUGUGAAAUUUGGGAAAUUCUCUUUUGAAUAAGUUCUACGAAUAGAUUAGGUACUAAUAUUCCGACGGAAUAAAUUAGUCAAUCGCUUGACACAAAGGGGUUAUUAUUUCAAAAUUUAGAAUACAAUUAUAUUUUACAUACUAUUAGGUAUUAAUUACGUUUGAAAAGUUCUUUAUUUCUUACACGUUAGUCUAUAGCUGGAAGUAUAGAGAGAUACGCCGUUGCCGAAAAUUUAUAGGCAAUACGAUAAUACAACUUUCUGGCAACAUCUAUAAGUGUACAACAACCACGGACAAGGAAAUCUGCCAGUGGUAUAUCAGGAAACAAACACCGCGAUUACAUACUGCAAUUAUGUUGACUAACGGAACGGAGACGGACCAUUACUGCCCGAUACCCAUAAUAAUAGAAUAUUUUUAUCUGUAUAUUGCAUACCAAAUUUCUUUUAAGGCAUUCCAAGGAACCUUCCUACAUACCAAAUUUCAACUUUCUACUUACCCUUGAGAGUUCAGUAAGACCACUACGCCGCCGGUUAGAUUUGAAUAGAAUGAUAGACUUGAAUAAAUAGACGUGGAUUCGAUCGAGUGCAACUGCAGCAACUAUUAAAUCGAUCAUGAUUAUAAGAGACAUUCAGUGAAUUCGAAUCGAAUAAUCAUGUAGUUAAUCUUUAUUAUGUACACAAUUUGUCGUCACCACAGCCCGAAUGCUGAACGUGGUGUUUUGAUUGGAAACAUAACGUUUCGAUAAUUCUGUUUGUUUAGCAUCAAAUUAAAUGUUCAUUUUGUUGUAUAAAUGUGUUAAGUACACAAUUUUCAGUUCUUGUUAAAAUGGGUGAUUGGGUAUUAUUAUAAAGUACUAAGUUAAGGGUGAGUUGCACCGGCAUAUUUGACGUUGGUUUUAACCGAUGCGCCUCUUUUACACAAAAUUGCGCACGUUAGAGACGUCAAAGUUGACGGUGGAACCAUUGCUAAAUUCUAAAGCUUAUUGGAGUGUUUAUUUAAGUGCCUGUGGAAUUAUUUUGACACAAAUACGGACAAGAAUGUGAACGACUUUUCAGACACAGAGUUUCAAAAGCAAAAGUAAAUUGAUUCAGGCCAGGAGGAAAUGUACUCGCUGACUUUAAUAUCCGUUCUUAUUAAAAGUUCCUUAGUCCUGUCUAUCACUGUGUAAGUAUAAUGAUGAUAUAAGUUCAUGGAUGUGAAAUAAAAAUGUCUAAUAAUAAAU